CUGCCAUAUCAUGUUGAAACACCAGUUUCCAUAUGAUCACUGAAGUUAAGUAAUAUCAAGCCUGGUCAGUACCUAGAUUGGUGACUACUUGGGAAUUCCAGGUUCUGUAAG